AGCAUAUGAAAUAAAUAAGAAUUUGAAUAUAUGAGAGUUUCAAAAGAUUACAUUGUUCCCCAGCAACAAAAGGUUUAGUUCACCAUAAUCAUGGUGAAACUAGAUGAAAAUAAUGAAAGAGUGGAAGAAAUAACCCUAAACUUGGUUGAAUGGAGCCUAAGCAUCCAAGGAACCUCCUCCAAGGUGUGGAAUAGAUCUAGACGUUUC
rnacentral:lncRNA from 1 species